rnacentral:rRNA from 1 species
UACGAAGGGGGCUAGCGUUGCUCGGAAUCACUGGGCGUAAAGCGCACGUAGGCGGCUUGUUAAGUCAGGGGUGAAAUCCUGGAGCUCAACUCCAGAACUGCCUUUGAUACUGAGGAUCUUGAGUCCGGGAGAGGUGAGUGGAACUGCGAGUGUAGAGGUGAAAUUCGUAGAUAUUCGCAAGAACACCAGUGGCGAAGGCGGCUCACUGGCCCGGUACUGACGCUGAGGCACGAAAGCGUGGGGAGCAAACAGGG